rnacentral:rRNA from 1 species
GACGAACGCUGGCGGCGUGCUUAACACAUGCAAGUCGAGCGGUAAGGCCCUUUCGGGGGUACACGAGCGGCGAACGGGUGAGUAACACGUGGGUGACCUGCCCUCAGCUCUGGGAUAAGCCUGGGAAACCGGGUCUAAUACUGGAUAUGACUCCAUGACGCAUGUUGUGGGGUGGAAAGCCUUGUGCGGCUGAGGAUGGGCCCGCGGCCUAUCAGCUUGUUGGUGGGGGAUGGCCUACCAAGGCGACGACGGGUAGCCGGCCUGAGAGGGCGACCGGCCACACUGGGACUGAGACACGGCCCAGACUCCUACGGGAGGCAGCAGGUGGGGAAUCUUGCGCAAUGGGCGAAAGCCUGACGCAGCGACGCCGCGUGAGGGAUGACGGCCU